CCCUUAGAUGUUCUGGGCUGCACACGUGCUACACUGGCAGGUUCAGCGAGCUUCAUGCCCUGAUCUGAAAGGAAUGGGAAAUCUUUUCAAAACCUGCCGUGCUUGGGAUAGAUGUUUGCAAUUAUUCAUCUUCAACGAGGAUUGCCUUGUAAGCGCACGUCAUCAGCGUGCAUUGAAUACGACCCUGUAUUCUGUACACACCGCCCGUCGCUCCUACCGAUUGAAGUUUUCGGUGAGUUGACAGGAGGAUUUUUUUGAAACUGGUUCGCCAGUGGAUUUUAGAUCCAAAUGCCAACGAAUCGAUGGCUUUAGAGGAAUGAGAAGUCGUAACA
rnacentral:rRNA from 1 species